rnacentral:lncRNA from 1 species
CUGGAUAAAAUAUAAAUUGGAGUAUCUAUGAAUAAUAUCAGAGAGAGCAGGUAAAGAAAGAUGUGUUCCUUCAGAAAUACAGAAAAGCAUGGAUCUCUGCCAUCAAUGGUUAGAUAAGUAUUCAGAGGGUUGAACGCUUUUUAUGGGAGUUUUAUUGUUAAUGUUUGUUUCUCUUUUUCUUUUUUUGCUUUCUUAGUGACUAAAUACAUCAUGGAGUUAUGGUACCUAGGUCUACAACUGCAUGCAGAUGGUGACAUGCUCAUAUGAGAAGCCUCAGAGGACAGCGAAUGAAAUGCAACCAGGGGAAUAAUGGAAGGAUGAGCAUACCAUCACAGAGAAGAUGACGAGAGAAGAGAAGAGUGGAUGGUGGGAGGCUGUGUGUAUGUUGUUGUUACUAUACAUAUAUAUGAAUUGAAGACAUUACCACUGUAGAUGAAUUGAAAUUUCUUCUUUUGUUAUACUCAAUAAUUUAAUUAGAUUAG